AGCUUUCUGAAUCCGUGCUGAGAUUUCGUCAGAUACCGACCUAUUAGGACUGAUCAGACUUCCAAGAUAAGUGAAGUU
rnacentral:pre_miRNA from 1 species